rnacentral:lncRNA from 1 species
ACCAGGACUUCCAGGAGAACUAUGCGGGAAUCUUUCACUUUCAGUUCUGGCAGUACGGAGAGUGGGUGGAGGUGGUCAUUGACGACAGGCUGCCCACCAAGAAUGGACAGCUGCUCUUCCUACACUCGGAACAAGGCAAUGAAUUCUGGAGUGCCCUGCUGGAGAAAGCCUAUGCCAAGCUUAAUGGUUGUUAUGAGGCUCUCGCUGGAGGUUCCACAGUGGAGGGGUUUGAGGAUUUCACAGGUGGCAUCUCUGAGUUUUAUGACCUGAAGAAACCACCAGCCAAUCUAUAUCAGAUCAUCCGGAAGGCCCUCUGUGCGGGGUCUCUGCUGGGCUGCUCCAUUGAUGUCUCCAGUGCAGCCGAAGCCGAAGCCAUCACCAGCCAGAAGCUGGUUAAGAGUCAUGCGUACUCUGUCACUGGAGUCGAAGAGGUGAAUUUCCAGGGCCAUCCAGAGAAGCUGAUCAGACUCAGGAAUCCAUGGGGUGAAGUGGAGUGGUCGGGAGCCUGGAGCGAUGAGUAGGUUUUUUUCCCCCGCUUCUCCAGUCAUCUCUCCCUCUGCGGAAGGGUGUCGUGUAAAACACACAACAAUGAGAUCGAUGUCACAGUGAGUUCAGCAGCACGUCCUGUCUGCAGAUCACACAGUGUGUUCAGAAAAGAGUAUUAAAUGGAUCCAGGCUGGGAAAAGCAAAAUAAAAACCACUGGGCUGUA